GACGAACGCUGCGGCGUGUUUAACACAUGCAAGUCGAACGAAGAGCGAUGGAAGCUUGCUUCUAUCAAUCUUAGUGGCGAACGGGUGAGUAACGCGUAAUCAACCUGCCCUUCAGAGGGGGACAACAGUUGGAAACGACUGCUAAUACCGCAUACGAUCUAAACUCGGCAUCGAGGAUAGAUGAAAGGUGGCCUCUACAUGUAAGCUAUCACUGAAGGAGGGGAUUGCGUCUGAUUAGCUAGUUGGAGGGGUAACGGCCCACCAAGGCGAUGAUCAGUAGCCAGUCUGAGAGGAUGAACGGCCACAUUGGGACUGAGACACGGCCCAGACUCCUACGGGAGGCAGCAGUGGGGAAUCUUCCGCAAUGGACGAAAGUCUGACGGAGCAACGCCGCGUGAGUGAUGACGGCCUUCGGGUUGUAAAGCUCUGUUAAUCGGGACGAAAGGCCUUCUUGCGAAUAGUGAGAAGGAUUGACGGUACCGGAAUAGAAAGCCCG
rnacentral:rRNA from 1 species